rnacentral:rRNA from 1 species
CAGCCGCCGCGGUAAUACGGAGGGGGCUAGCGUUGUUCGGAAUUACUGGGCGUAAAGCGCACGUAGGCGGCUUUACAAGUCAGAGGUGAAAGCCUGGAGCUCAACUCCAGAAUUGCCUUUGAGACUGUAUCGCUUGAACACGGGAGAGGCGAGUGGAGUUCCGAGUGUAGAGGUGAAAUUCGUAGAUAUUCGGAAGAACACCAGUGGCGAAGGCGGCUCACUGGACCGUUGUUGACGCUGAGGUGCGAAAGCGUGGGGAGCAAACAGGAUUAGAUACCCCGGUAGUCCCUGUCUCUUAUAC